rnacentral:ncRNA from 23 species
ACCACCCCCGACCCCCUCCUCUAAAGAGGAUGGGGCUUUGUCGUUGUUCUCCCCCUCCUCUUCAGAGGAGGGGGUCGGGGGGUGG